rnacentral:tRNA from 1 species
GCCGCCCUAGCUCAGUAGGUAGAGCAACGGACUGAAAAUCCGUGUGUCUCCUGUUCGAUUCAGGAGGGCGGCA